UUGGAGGGCAAGUCUGGUGCCAGCAGCCGCGGUAAUUCCAGCUCCAAUAGCGUAUAUUAAAGUUGCUGCAGUUAAAAAGCUCGUAGUUGAAUUUCGGGACCACCAUGUCGGUCGUGCCUCGGUACGUACUGGUAUUGUUGGUUUCUCCCUUCUGACGAACCAUGAUGUCAUUUAUUUGGUGUUGUGGGGAAUCAGGACUGUUACUUUGAAAAAAUUAGAGUGUUUAAAGCAGGCUCACGCUUGAAUACAUUAGCAUGGAAUAAUGAAAUAGGACGUUUGAUUCUAUUUUGUUGGUUUCUAGGAUCGACGUAAUGAUUAAUAGGGAUAGUUGGGGGCAUUAGUAUUCAAUUGUCAGAGGUGAAAUUCUUGGAUUUAUUGAAGACUAACUACUGCGAAAGCAUUUGCCAAGGAUGUUUUCAUUAAUCAAGAACGAAAGUUAGGGGAUCGAAGACGAUCAGAUACCGUCGUAGUCUUAACCAUAAACUAUGCCGACUAGGGAUCGGAUGAUGUUAAUUUUUUAAUGACUCAUUCGGCGCCUUACGGGAAAC
rnacentral:rRNA from 1 species